ACUAGGGAUCGGACGAUGUUACAUUUUUGACGCGUUCGGCACCUUACGAGAAAUCAAAGUGCUUGGGCUCCAGGGGGAGUAUGGUCGCAAGGCUGAAACUUAAAGAAAUUGACGGAAGGGCACCACCAGGGGUGGAGCCUGCGGCUUAAUUUGACUCAACACGGGGAAACUCACCAGGUCCAGACACAAUGAGGAUUGACAGAUUGAGAGCUCUUUCUUGAUUUGUGG
rnacentral:rRNA from 1 species